rnacentral:rRNA from 1 species
AGAAUCAACGCUGGCGGCGUGCCUAACACAUGCAAGUCGAACGAGAAAGGGGAGCAAUCCCUGAGUAAAGUGGCGACCGGGUGAGUAACACGUGACUAACCUACCUUCGAGUGGGGGAUAACCUCGGGAAACCGGGGCUAAUACCGCAUAACAUCUUUGGAGUGGAAACUCUGGAGACCAAAGGAGCAAUUCGCUUGAAGAGGGGGUCGCGGCUGAUUAGCUAGUUGGCGGGGUAAUGGCCCACCAAGGCUUUGAUCGGUA